AAAAAUUGAUAAUCUAAUUAAAGCUUCUAACUUUGAUUAUAGUGGUUAAAUUCCAUUAAAUUUUUU
rnacentral:tRNA from 1 species